rnacentral:ncRNA from 1 species
AGGCACUUAGAAGUUUGCACAAUUUUAUAUGUAUCCAGCAAUUUUCGUACAUGGAUGUACGGAAAAGGCAAUACUGAGCCAGGAUGGCGAAUUAUCGCCGGUUGCGUUAUGCCAUCCUGCCAUCUGUUUAAAAUUGUCCAAACUUCUUAGUGCC